UUGAAAUGUUUAGCAUUUUAGCUAACACUGAAUUCUCCUAAACUGCUGCAUAAAUUCUAACCUGCUAUGAACAUUUUUAUCUGACGUUCAUUUAACUAAAUCUGGAUCCCUUCUAGGCGGGAGAAGUGCGUGAUAUAUUCCAAGUGAAAGUGAAAGUGAAAGUCUCCAGCUCCCCAUUUCUUGUAAGAGACGACAGUCUACUGUCGACUGCAAAAAAUUGAAGAAUUAAGUUAAACAGCCAGACCCUUUGGUAUCGUCAGCUUUCCAUACACUGGCUGAGAGACCACGCGCCACUGUCGACUGCAAAAAGUUGAAGAAUUAAGGAGACUGGAGUUAAAGAAACAACAGUGACCAAACUCCACCAUGGAAAACGACAUGUACGAUUAUCUUCCGGAUCCUGACGAUGACAAUUACCUCCCUGAGGAUAUUACAGUGUCAGUGCUUCUUCUGCUUGGUAUUUGCCUCCCUGCCCUUGGUUGGAUUAUCAUCCUGUCUCUCUGCUGUAAACGCUGGGAAAGAAAACAUGUCACAUUGUUUCUCGUGUCCCUCCUUAUCACUGACACUCUGCAGCUGAUCGCUUCCCCUUUCAUUGUGGAAACUGUGCUAACCGGGGUUCCCUGUUGGCAUGUUAGUUGGUGGUGCACUACAGUAUACAUACUGUUUUCGGUGUCAAGAUUCUGCGGCCUGUUUUUGCACCUGUGGGUUGCUCUGGAGAAGAUCUGGAUUCUGAGUCAUCGAAGGGUUAAAUGUUUCUUCAUUUUGUUUUUUUCUGUGUGCUUGUUAUACAUUUUAUUUGCAAUCUAUGUGCAUUUGUAUGAUGUUAAUUAUUUGUUUUUAUAUAUUUUGAAUACUUUCUUUGGAUUGUUUGCUUUGGGCACAGCUGCUGCAGCAUGUGUGGGAGCCCUCAAACCCGUGCCAACACGGAACCUCACAGCUAAAUGUCAGAGUUUGAAGGUAUUAGCAGUGGCCAUGUUUACUUUUAUGAUACUCUAUGUUCCUGAGUUCCUCUACCAUAUAAUACAAACCUUCAGACCUGC